GCCGACGUAGCUCAGCCGGUAGAGCAGUUGAUUCGUAAUCAUCAGGUCAGCGGUUCGAUUCCGCUCGUCGGCUCCA
rnacentral:tRNA from 1 species